ACUGAUUUUCUUCCUGCUGGAGAGGUGCAAGCCAUGGUAUUUAGGUUUCUGUGAAUCCUUCUGAUUCACAGGGAGAGAUGAAAUGGUGCUGUUCAAACAUCCAUGAAGAAGUGAUGGGGAAGAGAGCCCUUCUUUGAUGGCAAUGAAACAAAAGGGAAGAAAAAUCAAGAGUAACUGACAAGAAGAUAACUGCUCCAGCUCCUCAGAAGUACCCUUUACAGACACUACUUUGAAUGCUACUUGACAAGGAUUCAGAAAUGUUAUACUUGAGCAGUGUGGCAUUGGGAAGGAAGGUUAAUGCUCUCCAUGUGAAAAUUUGAAGAAGCUGAUAAAAGAAAUCAGUGAGAUUAUCCUGUCUCUAUCUUUUUUAUUAUUAUACUAUUAUUAUUACUUUUUUUGUG
rnacentral:lncRNA from 1 species